UCCUAAUAAGCCUCGAGAAGUAAAAAUUAUUUUGUUGAAGAACCAGGAGAAGCUACUAGAUUUGCUUCAUAAUCUGUCCCCAGGAAAAGGUUCAGAAGAUGAACAAUUUUAGGAGGAAAAGGAGUUUAUCAUCAAGGAAAUUGAAAGACUAUUGAUCUAAGUUAAUUUUUUUUUCUACUGCAGCUGUGUGUGAUUUUGUAACAAGUCCUUUUGUGACUUGUAUAUCCAAAGCUAAUUUGCUGCAAGGAUUUCAUGUUGCUAUUUAUAGGAAA